CGCGUGCAGAACUCACUCCGGGGACUCACGGGUUGAAAAGCAGAACCGGCCGGGGCCCUAAUGGCCUCUGAAGUGGGUUGGGCCCAGGUCCCCCGCCCCUGCACUCCCGUCUCACCCCUCCCGGCUCCCCAAACCCCAGCCCCACCGUCACCGGCCUGGGCUCCUUCGCGGGUCUCUGCGUGGCUGACUCAGGUCAGGUGUGGAGCGCGUGACGGAGGCGGGCCAAUCAGGGCUGACUGUGCUUGAUUGGCUCGAAAGCGAGCAUGUGACUAAGCCUGGCCAAUCGGAGCGAGACGUGGGACUUUGGCGGGGCAUGCGGGGUGGGGCGGGGCGCCAAGGCAGCAACCUCCCUCCUUAAGGAGGCAGCCCCUGGAGCUGGAAGCCGCCACCUGGUCACUGUCUGCAAAGGGGAGCAACAGCCACGUGACGGAGCCGGAGCAGUGCCCGGCCACAUGCUUGGAUCGCUGGGUCCACGCCUGCCUGACGUGGAAUCUAGGACUACUCGGUUGCGUGGGAAAGUUUCCUUUUCUGGCGUUCUGCAGACAUUUCCUCCUGCAAGGCUAGGUCCUCAUGUUCUCACACCAUAGUUUCUUGUCGUCUCGCAAAGAAUCGAGAAUUGCACACAGCACCAUUCCAUAAAGUAAAAGGAUGAAUCCAUUGACAGGCGUAAAUGCAAACCGAUUUCCAGCUCAAGGCAAGUCGCAACCCAUGAUGUUGCGGCAGGAAACCUCCAGGGAAGAAAGGAAGUUGGGUCGCAGGGCUGCCGCCUCCUCAACCCCACCAGGCGGACAAGACGGGAGUGGCAACUGAUUCAGGAUCCUUCCUGGCCUCGAGAGAAAUCCUAGAAUAGGAGCUUGCACAGAUCGAGAGACCCAGAUUCUCAUGCCGCCAAAAGGAUUCUCAUCCCUAAACAUGUUCUCACCUCAGCCACAAGGUGACGGAGCCACGUGUGAGUAGAUCAAAGAUGUGCACGGGGCGUUAAACACGCACCAAGGGAAGAGCUAACUUGAACACAAGGUCAAGAUCAGCGACAAGUUCUACAACCCCCGACACAGGCUUGGAGGACAAAUUUCCUUUCAAAGGCUUACCCAGCCUCAGGAGGCUGGCUGAGGUGUGCAGUCUGCAAGGACAAGUUCAUGUUCUGGACUAGCUGGUGCAGCAGAUGCAGCCCAUCCUGGCUCCGUCCGUUUAGAAGCAUUUGCGGGGGCUGGUGCGUGGCCCGACGGGCCAGACUCCCGCCUGCUGAUCCACAUCCGCGGAGGGUGGACAGCAAAGCCGGGACGCAGCCUGACCCCACCGAGUACCGAGUUCGAACUGGGGGGAUCGUGAUGGUCUCCCUGGGGGCCUCGGCCCUCGCUCCCCCUGCAUCCUGUUCCUGGCGCGCGGGUACGUGGUGGUCCCACCAGACAGCCCCCGUGCAGGUGGGCAGGUCCCUCCAGAGGUGGACACUACCGAGCAGCAGACGGCCCAGUGGAUGCCACAGGGACCCGCUCCCGGUGGAUAGUGAGCACCUGACCGUCCGGCAGCUCGUAGCUCUGCACAGGGAGCGGGAGGACACGGCGGUGGCCAUCUCCUGCCCCAAGGCCAGGGCCACGGAGCAGCACUGCUCCUUGGUGUCAGGCAUGAUUCCUGCUCGGCCGCGGUGGUGAAGCUGUUGCCAUGCUGGGUGAGGUCCCCAGUAGCCAGGUCCUGAUGCAGGAGGGGUGGGCAGGGCGUAACCCGCAUAGCUGGGCAGGAGGUGGGUGACCUACCCCCAGAGACCAUGUCAACACCAGAGGUGUGGCCAGGGGCAUCACCCAGGGACAGCGAGGCCUGGCUGGCCACUCGUAUGGCCAGAGGGUUGAAGGCCUGGAACAGGAUCUGGGUCAUCCUCUUACGGCUGCCUUGGGGGUGGGCUGGAGACGCAGCCAGCAUCACCCGGUGGUCCUCCACCCACGCGCUAUUCCCUGUGGGUCCUCCGGCCACACGCUGCUCCUGGUAGGUGUGGUACCAGGGCUUGCCCGCGUGGUCCCAAUUGUGGGGCGUGCUGUGCUCCAGGGGGUAUCUGAGGGUCUCCUUCUCACCCGUGUACUUUCCUUCUGCCCCAGGCCCACCUGACGCCCCGGGGUCAGGGUCCCCCAACCAUGGAACGGCGGGCGGGAAUCAUCCGCAGCAAAGCCAGCCCUGCACCUGCUGGAGUCAGUGUUGCUGAGCAGUAGGGCAGCUCUUCUUCCUCUGUGAGGUGGGCGGUGUUGGGGGAACAGUUGGGGAGGUCCUUCAAGGGAUGUGUUUCCGGUCGCUGCCCCCCUGCGAUGGGGAUGGCACAGCAGCAUCAGUACCUGUGCCACCUGUUAGAAAUACAGAUUCCCAGGAGUUCCCAUUGUGGUGCAGUGGAAAUGAAUCUGACUAGGAACCAUGAGCUUGCGGGUUCGAUCCCUGGCCUUGCUCAUUGGGUUAAGGAUCCGGUGUUGCUGUGAGCUGUGGUGUAGCUCGCAGACAUGGCUUGAAUCCUGUAUGGCUGUGGCUGUGGUGUAGGCUGGCAGCUGCAGCUCCGAUUCGACCCCUAGCCUGGGAACCUCUGUAUGCUGCAAGUACAGCCCUAGGGAAAAAAAAAUAAUAAUACAGAUUCUCAGAUUCCACCACAGCCUUACUGAGUCAGAAACUCUGGGCUUGGGCCCAGCACUUUGUGUUUUAACAAUCCCUCCAGUUGAUUAGGACAGCUGCUCAAGUUUAAGAACCACUGCCAAUACUCUCUGGGGGCAGCAAUGAAUUCAGCAAGGCAUUUCAUUUCCCAGCAUUUCCUGUGCUGUUUGGUGUGGCCGUGGGGCUAAACAUGGACAAGAUGUAAGUGUUGAGACUUCCAGGAAGUCUCCUUAAAAGAAAGAGGUCGUUCCUUGGACUUGUCCUCCAGCCACAUGUCUGGAAUGCAGUUGUAAUGGCUGGAGCUCCAGCAGUCAUUUUGGACCAUGAGGGUGAAGACUGAGACUUAGGGAUGGUGGAGUGGUAAGCUAAUAACAGUCCCUGAGUCCCUGGGACCCUGUGAAGUUGCCAUAUAAGAGAGAGAAAUAAACUUCUCUUUUAC
rnacentral:lncRNA from 1 species